rnacentral:rRNA from 1 species
AUUGAACGCUGGCGGCAUGCCUUACACAUGCAAGUCGAACGGCAGCGCGGACUUCGGUCUGGCGGCGAGUGGCGAACGGGUGAGUAAUACAUCGGAACGUACCCUGUUGUGGGGGAUAACUAGUCGAAAGAUUAGCUAAUACCGCAUACGACCUGAGGGUGAAAGUGGGGGACCGCAAGGCCUCACGCAGCAGGAGCGGCCGAUGUCUGAUUAGCUAGUUGGUGGGGUAAAGGCCCACCAAGGCGACGAUCAGUAGCUGGUCUGAGAGGACGAUCAGCCACGCUGGGACUGAGACACGGCCCAGACUCCUACGGGAGGCAGCAGUGGGGAAUUUUGGACAAUGGGGGCAACCCUGAUCCAGCAAUGCCGCGUGUGUGAAGAAGGCCUUCGGGUUGUAAAGCACUUUUGUCCGGAAAGAAAUCGCGCUGGUUAAUACCUGGCGUGGAUGACGGUACCGGAAGAAUAAGCACCGGCUAACUACGUGCCAGCAGCCGCCGCCG